rnacentral:rRNA from 1 species
CACGUAGGGGGCAAGCGUUGUCCGGAAUUAUUGGGCGUAAAGAGCUCGUAGGCGGUUUGUCGCGUCGGCUGUGAAAACCCGGGGCUCAACCCCGGGCCUGCAGUCGAUACGGGCAAACUAGAGUGUGGUAGGGGAGACUGGAAUUCCUGGUGUAGCGGUGAAAUGCGCAGAUAUCAGGAGGAACACCGGUGGCGAAGGCGGGUCUCUGGGCCAUAACUGACGCUGAGGAGCGAAAGCGUGGGGAGCGAACAGG